rnacentral:rRNA from 1 species
GUGAGGAAUAUUGGUCAAUGGACGGAAGUCUGAACCAGCCAUGCCGCGUGCAGGAAUAAGGUCCUAUGGAUUGUAAACUGCUUUUAUUCGGGAAUAAACCUCUUUACGUGUAGGGAGCUGAAGGUACCGAAGGAAUAAGCACCGGCUAACUCCGUGCCAGCAGCCGCGGUAAUACGGAGGGUGCAAGCGUUAUCCGGAAUCAUUGGGUUUAAAGGGUCCGCAGGCGGUCUUAUAAGUCAGUGGUGAAAGCCUACAGCUCAACUGUAGAACUGCCAUUGAUACUGUAGGACUUGAAUUCGAUCGAAGUGGGCGGAAUGUGACAUGUAGCGGUGAAAUGCUUAGAUAUGUCACAGAACACCGAUAGCGAAGGCAGCUCACUAGGUCUGGAUUGACGCUCAGGGACGAAAGCGUGGGGAGCAAACAGGAUUAGAAACCCCAGUAGUCC